rnacentral:miRNA from 1 species
GAUCCCUGUUAAACACACACAUUCCUGAACUCCAGAGAGCCUGAUUCUGCAGGAUUUGGGUGGUGCCCAGGAAUCUGCAUUUUAGC